rnacentral:rRNA from 1 species
CCUACGGGCGGCAGCAGUGGGGAAUAUUGGACAAUGGGCGAAAGCCUGAUCCAGCCAUGCCGCGUGUGUGAAGAAGGCCUUCGGGUUGUAAAGCACUUUCAGUGGGGAAGAAAGCCUUGGGGCUAAUACCCUCGAGGAAGGACAUCACCCACAGAAGAAGCACCGGCUAACUCCGUGCCAGCAGCCGCGGUAAUACGGAGGGUGCGAGCGUUAAUCGGAAUUACUGGGCGUAAAGCGCGCGUAGGCGGUCUGAUAAGCCGGUUGUGAAAGCCCCGGGCUCAACCUGGGAACGGCAUCCGGAACUGUCAGGCUAGAGUGCAGGAGAGGAAGGUAGAAUUCCCGGUGUAGCGGUGAAAUGCGUAGAGAUCGGGAGGAAUACCAGUGGCGAAGGCGGCCUUCUGGACUGACACUGACGCUGAGGUGCGAAAGCGUGGGUAGCAAACAGGAUUAGAUACCCUAUAGUC